CCUACGGGUGGCAGCAGUGGGGAAUAUUGCACAAUGGGGGAAACCCUGAUGCAGCAACGCCGCGUGAGUGAAGAAGUAUUUCGGUAUGUAAAGCUCUAUCAGCAGGGAAGAAGAUGACGGUACCUGAUUAAGAAGCCCCGGCUAACUACGUGCCAGAAGCCGCGGUAAUACGGAGGGGGCAAGCGCUAUCCGGAUGUACUGGGUGUAAAGGGAGCGGAGGCGGCAGUGCAAGUCUGGAGUGAAAGCCAUGGGCUCAACCCCCGAACUGCUGUGGAAACUGUGCGGUUAGAGUACUGGAGGGGCAGGCGGAAUGCCUGGUGUAGCGGUGAAAUGCGUAGAGAUUAGGAGGAACACCAGUGGCGAAGGCGGCCUGCUGGACAGUAACUGACGUUGAGGCUCGAAAGCGUGGGGAGCAAACAGGAUUAGAUACCCCUGUAGUC
rnacentral:rRNA from 1 species